UCAAGAAAGGAGUUUUGGUUUCAACUUGGACUGGAUUUUCUGGAUGAAUUUUCUGGAUGACUUUAAAAUGCUGUCAUCUGCCUGUGUAGAACUAACAUCAGGUCCUGGAACCAACCCCCUGUGGAUACUGCGGGAUGACUGUACAGUUCUUCGCUGGAGGUGCUACGCUAGAGAUAUUUGGAGGCAACUCCCGUGUCCCCCGAGCCUUCUCCCAGCUAAACCUCUGCAGAUCCGUCACCGCUUUCUCCUGUGGGUCCGAGUCAUCCCGCACCAUUAUCUAGAGAUGCUCCAGUUCG